UACGCCCGAUCUCGUCCGAUCUCAGAAGCUAAGCAGAGUUGGGCUUGGUUAGUAGUUGGAUGGAAGAUUGCUUGGGAAUACCAGGUGCCGUAAGCCU
rnacentral:rRNA from 1 species